AUGGAUGGACUUAUUUCUGAAUGGGAUCUGAAUAGUGAUUCUGUUGCCAUCUUUGCGACCCAAACCUAUUUUAUUCUUUUAAUUCCAGAAGCUGGUGAGCUUGGAGGAGGUGGCUGUAUAUUUCACCAUGGAACAGUGGACAUUGCUGGAUCCAUGGUGUCAUGGAAGCUAAACUGGAAGAAUGUAAUGUGCCUGGAGAUGGAGAAAGUUGAACAGCAGAGAAAGAAAUAUGAAGGAAAAGAAAACGGGGGGAAGAAAACUCUCAUUUCUGAAUAUGCCGGUUUACAUGAAAUCCAAAAGCUGAUAUGUUUUCAAUGUGGAAAGAGCUUCAGCUUGAACAUACACUGAGUGGGGGGACCCACUCAGUAGGGAAUCCAUGCAAAUGUUCAGAGUGUUGAAAUAAUAUCUUGGAAAAGAUUGAUCUUACUCCCCAUCAAAUAACUCAGGCUGCACAAAAACUAUGUAAGCGCUCAGAGUGUGGAAAGAGUUUCGUUGGGAGUGCUGAUUCUACCUAUGGUCCGGGAACCCAUACUGGUGAAAAACCCUAUGAAUGCU
rnacentral:lncRNA from 1 species